rnacentral:lncRNA from 1 species
AAGUGUCUUGAAAGGUGUGACCAGGUGCAGGUGAAGAUCUGUUGGUAUCCCAGUGGGGUUUGUACCCAUUUUUGAGUUUGUGUGUGGCACCAAAUUCUAAUUAAAUUAUCCAAGAAAUUUUCUGCAGUACUUUAAAGAUACUCUUUGUUAUUUGUGGACUUAAUUCUACAACACCUAAAGGUAAAAUUCUGAUAACCUGACAGAAUUUUAAAUAAUUUUUACCACUGACAUGAGCAUUUAACAGCAGUGUCUUGAAAGGUGUGACCAGGUGCAGGUGAAGAUCUGUUGGUGUCAUAUUGGGGUUUCUACUCAUUUUUGAGUAUAUGUAGGACCAAAUUCUAAUUAAAUUACCCAAGUGCAGGGAGAUGAGGGAGCAGAAAAUGUGAAAGAUGCUUUUUGAGUGUCCAGGGAGUAACUCUGUGUUCUCUCCACCAUCCCACAGGGCAGCCCAUCAACCCCCAGUGCCGGAUCUACCCCGAGGAAAUGAUCCAGACUGGCAUUUCUGCCAUCGAUGGCAUGAACAGCAUUGCCAGGGGCCAGAAAAUCCCCAUUUUCUCAGCUGCUGGGCUGCCCCACAACGAGAUCGCGGCUCAGAUCUGUCGCCAGGCCGGCUUGGUGAAGAAAUCCAAAGAUGUGAUGGAUUACAGUGAGGAGAACUUUGCCAUCGUCUUUGCUGCCAUGGGGGUGAGCCCACAGAGCUGGGGGCAGCUGGGGCUGCAGGAAUCAGAGACAUUCUGAGCGUGGCUGAGGCCUGAGCAGCUUUUGUGUGUGCGGAAUUAAAGAAUGGGUGAAAACCCCCAAAGGGGCUGGAUCUGCCUCUGCACAGGCUGCCCAGAGGAGCUGUGGCUGCCCCAGGGCUGGGUGAGGCUUGGAGCACCCUGGGGUGCUGGGAGGUGUCCCUGCCCAUGGCACUGCAGGGUGGCUGAUCACAAAAGGGACAGGGCUGCUGGGAACGUGCCUUGAGCUGUUUGAUUUUCCAGCAUCACUCCCAUUCCAUGGCUAUGACAAUGGGAAGAUGCCAGCAGCUCACAUCCCAGCCAGCAGGCCAAAAAACUAAAUGUUAAAACUCACUUUAUAAGUUUUUUGACCAAUCACACAAAGCAAAAGUACAUUGACAGUAGUUCUAUACAAUCACUAUAAGCACAGGUACCUUUGGUUAAACAAUGCUUGCUUAUUUCAAAUACAACACCUGCUUGUGAGCCUCAACACACAGAGCUCCAUUAUUAAUCUUUAACCUUCCUAAUAUCUCUCUAGAUAAACUUUUCUGUACCUUAGAGAGUUAUUCUAGACAAGCAUUAAUACACAGCCCAUUGUUCUAUUUGUCCUUGCUUUUCUACAGUUUAAUAAUUUUUCUGCUGACCAAUCUCAUGGCUGCUGCUUGGCUCUAAUCACAGUUCUGCUGCCUCUGAGGCCUUUGCAGCUUUCCCAGAACCCUCUGAUUGUGUGGAUUCCCACAGAGGAGUUUUUGGGGUCCCUUCCCACCCAAACCAUUCCAUGAUCCCAACAAAGCCUGGCUGGUCAGGAUAAAACACCUCAGACUUGAUCUCCAGCCUGGAAUUGCUCACUCUGGCAGUGUAGAGGAACCUGAUGGCUGGAGAUCUUUGCUGUGGGUUAUUAAUGAGCUCAUCAACCCUUAAUUGGCUGGGGAAU